UGAGGAACAUGACCUUCGGCGGGGGAUAGCCGGCCCAACGGCCGGGUAAUACCGCGUACGACCUUUCGGGGACAUCCCUGAAUGGUGAAAGCAGCAAUGCGCCGAUGGAGUGCCUCGCGGCCUAUCAGCUAGUUGGUGGGGUGAUGGCCUACCAAGGCGAUGACGGGUAGCCGGCCUGAGAGGGCGACCGGCCACACUGGGACUGAGACACGGCCCAGACCUCCUACGGGAGGCGG
rnacentral:rRNA from 1 species